rnacentral:lncRNA from 1 species
UGUAUUUACAAUAAUAAAACAAAAGAAUUAUACAAUGAAGAUGCUGUCGACUUUAGCCUUUAUACCCUUUGAAUGAUUUAGAGUACGUAGACGCUGAUUCAUAAAUAAUAUUUAUAAAUAUUAUCGUGCUACAUUUAUUUAUCUAAUUUAGUUCAACAUUGAAUUUUAAUCAAAACAAAAUGAAUCUUAAUAUACCAUUUUAAACUCUGGUUUUAAUAUAAACUGUUUUAUUAUCAC